rnacentral:RNase_P_RNA from 1 species
CAACCGAGUCGGAUAGUCGCGGCUGAUGCCCCAACGGGCAUCAGGUGAGGAAAGUCCGGGCUCCACAGGGCAAGGAUAACGGGUAACGCCCGCCGGGGGUGACCCCAGGACAAGUGCAACAGAGAUAUACCGCCUCAGCGCGAUCAUCUUAACGCGAAUCGACGAUGAGGUAAGGGUGAAAAGGUGGGGUAAGAGCCCACCCGGCCUGUGGAAACACAGGUUUUACGAUGUAAACUCUAUCCGGAGCAACGCCGUGGAGGAACAAUAGGUUUGCCCGACCGUUCCAAGGAGGCGGCUGAAACCUGUGAGCAAUUGCAGGUUUAGAUAGAUGACUAUCAAGACAGAACCCGGCUUAUAGACUCGCGUUGCGUU